rnacentral:rRNA from 1 species
UACAGAGGGUGCGAGCGUUGUCCGGAAUCACUGGGCGUAAAGGGCGCGUAGGUGGCGGGAUAAGCGUGUGGUGAAAGCUCGGGGCUCAACUCCGAGUCUGCCAUGCGGACUGUCUUGCUCGAGCGUAGUAGAGGCAGGUGGAAUUCCGGGUGUAGCGGUGGAAUGCGUAGAGAUCCGGAGGAAGACCGGUGGCGAAGGCGGUCUGCUGGGCAGUUUCUGACACUGAUGCGCGACAGCGUGGGGAGCAAACAGG